rnacentral:tRNA from 1 species
GCCGAAGUGGCGGAAUUGGCAGACGCGCUAGAUUCAGGUUCUAGUGGGUAACACCGUGGGGGUUCGAGUCCCCCCUUCGGCA